UGACGGUACCUGACUAAGAAGCUCCGGCUAAAUACGUGCCAGCAGCCGCGGUAAUACGUAGGUGGCGAGCGUUAUCCGGAAUGAUUGGGCGUAAAGGGUGCGUAGGGGGCCAGAUCAAGUCUGGAGUAAAAGGUAUGGGCUCAACCCGUACUGGUUCUGGAAACUGAUCAGCUAGAGAACAGAAAGAGGGACGGCGGAACUCCAUGUGUAGCGGUAAAAUGCGUAGAUAUAUGGAAGAACACCGGUGGGCGAAGGCGGCCGUCUGGUCUGGAUUCUGACACUGAAGCACGAAAGCGUGGGGAGCAAAUAGGAUUAGAUACCCUAGUAGUCCACGCCGUAAACGAUGAGAACUAGGUGUUGGGGGAAUAACUCAGUGCCGCAGUUAACGCAAUAAGUUCUCCGCCUGGGGAGUAUGCACGCAAGUGUGAAACUCAAAGGAAUUGACGGGGGCCCGCACAAGCGGUGGAGUAUGUGGUUUAAUCCGAAGCAACGCGAAGAACCUUACCAGGCCUUGACAUCCCUUGCAGAGGUAUAGAGAUAUAUCCGAGGUUAUCAAGGAGACAGGUGGUGCAUGGUUGUCGUCAGCUCGUGUCGUGAGAUGUUGGGUUAAGUCCCGCAACGAGCGCAACCCUUGUGAUAUGUUACUAACAUUGAGUUGAGGACUCAUAUCAGACUGCCGGUGAUAAACCGGAGGAGGGUGGGGAUGACGUCAAAUCAUCAUGCCCCUUAUGGCCUGGGCUACACACGUACUACAAUGGCGUCUACAAAGAGUGGCAAGCCUGUGAAGGCAAGCGAAUCUCAUAAAGGACGUCUCAGUUCGGAUUGAAGUCUGCAACCCGACUUCAUGAAGCUGGAAUCGCUAGUAAUCGCGAAUCAGCAUGUCGCGGUGAAUACGUUCUCGGGCCUUGCACUCACCGCCCGUCAA
rnacentral:rRNA from 1 species